rfam:Picea glauca, whole genome shotgun sequence.
GUCUUUUCGAAGAUAUUCGAUAAAAUUGAAACGAUACAGAAAAGAUUAGUAUGGCUCUUGCGCAAGAAUAACACGCACAAAUAUACUAAACUUUGAUAUUGUC